rnacentral:lncRNA from 1 species
CGGCUUUGCAGCGGAGCUGGAGUGAGGGGCCGGGCAGAGAAGCCGACCCGCUGCGAUGCAGCCCGGGGCCUGUGCGCCGUCGGCCGCAGGCUUUGGGACAGGCCAUUUCUUCUACCUGGAACACUUUUCUAUCUCUCUCUUCACCUGGGUACAUUUUCAGUAUAGACAUCACUUUCCCGGCCAGCUCGUUCCAAGGUUUGCCUGGGUAAGAUGCUCCUCCUGUUGUUCCUGGACUACACCAUUAUUCCACAAGUUGCUAUCCCAUCGAUUACCAUACCAUUGUAAGCUAAAUUACACUGGUCAUACACCACACCAAGCUUGACUCUGUCAACCCUCCCUGUAGUGUUACAAUAGUUCAUGUAGAUAAUCUGAAUUAACAUAUGUGAAAAUUUUCUUCUGAAGAAAUGAUUUCUAGAAUUAAUUAUGAUAAAAUUACUUUCUAUUGGCAGGGUAUCUAAUGUUUUGCAAAUUACAUAAUAACACCAGCACCACCCUUUCAUGAAGAUGGCGCGAAAGUCAAAGAAGGAAGCUCCUGCCUCUCCCAGAGCCGAAGCCAAAGCAAAGGCUUUGAAAACAAGAAGGAGGUGCUGAAAGGCAUCCAAAGUCACACUAAGAAGAUCUGCACAUCACCUACAUUCCAACGAUCUAAGACCCUGUGUCUCCGAAGCCAGCCCGAAUACCCUGGAAAGAGCAUCCUUAGGAGAAUCAAGCUUGACCACUAUGCCAUCAAGAGCCUCCAGACUACUGAGUCAGCCAUGAAGAAGAUAGAAGACACCACACUUAUGCUCAUUGCGGAUGUCAAGGCCAAUAAGCACCAGAUCAGACAGACUGUGAAGAAACUCUACGAUAUUGAUUGGCCAAGGUCAACAGCUUGAUCAGGCCUGAUAGAGAGAAGGCCUGUAUUCGACUGACCAUGAGGCUUUGGAUGCCAAAAAAAUUAGGAUCAUUUAAACUGAGUCCAGUUGGCUAAAUAUAAAUAUAAUUUUUUUUUAUAAAAACCCCCACCAACACCAACUAUAGAAUUCACAAAUUUAUCUUAUUGUUAUCUUAUUGUCCUAAUAAACCUAGGAAGGUGGUUGCCUACAAAAUGAUUUGUAUUUUAAAUUUAUUAUUGUAGUGCUGCCCAGGUAGCUCAGCGGUUUAGUGCCAACUUCAGCCCAGGGCAUGAUCCUGGAGACCCGGGAUCGAGUCCCAUGUUGGGCUCCCUGCAUGGAGCCUGCUUCUCCCUCUGCCUGUCUCUGCCUCUCUCUCUCUCUCUCUCUCUCUCUCUCUCUGUGUCUCAUGAAUAAAUAAAUAAAAUCUUAAAAAAUAGAUUUAUUAUUGUAUUAAAAUAUAGAAUCACAGGGUAGAUAUGACUCCAAGAAGCAACCUUCCUGUAGUGCCUUUUUUUGUACUAGAAC